GUGAGCAAGGUUUCAGGUUGUC
rnacentral:miRNA from 1 species